CGCAGCCGUGUAGCUCUACGCUCCUGUGAUAACAAAACCACGCGCAGCAAAUUGUGAAAGUGUUGCUUGUAAACGCGAUUUCACGAGUGAGAGUAUUUUGCCGCGCUGACGGCCCGACGAACAUCAACGUCGCAACAGUUAAGUGGGAGAGGAUUAUCUCGUGAAUUUGAGAGAGGAGAGGGUUCAAUGGAAGCGAGGUUCGUGACCUGCCGGAGUUUCCAGCAGAUCAAGCCGCCCGAAAAGAGCCUCGCGUCGCCGCCGACGGUGAAGGGGCUCUUGUCACGUUUCGGGAGCCAAGCCCAAGCACUGUUCGCGCCGAAGAAACCCCGUUUCGGAUCGUCAGUGGCUAUUCACAAACUCCGCGAGACCAAGUGGUUUAAACAUGAUGAACAGAACAUUUUGUGCGCUGUCCUCGAGUCAGGAUUCGUACUUGAAGUCAGAGCGGAGGAACCAUUGCCACCAGACUCUACACUGUCACCAGACUAUCAUAUGUACGCAAUUGCCAUGUGGAAGAAGGGUAAAGAAAAAACAAAGAACCCGGAACAGAUAGAAGUGUACACCGUUCAACAGAAAGGUGUAAGGAAACGAGUCGUCAAGACUACACUGGGUGCCUUUUGGAAAAAGGAUUCUGUGAUUCGUAUCAACAAUGUUGACGACAAACAGGAGACACCCAACAAUGAAAAAGACAUCAGAGCGAAGCUGGAUAUGGCAACUAAGUCAAGGUUCGAGAGGAACUGGCAUAAUACACUGCAUUUCGUCCACUGGUGUCGCUAUGGAGAAACGCCGCAAGAAGCUCGCAUGAGACAGAUCAGCUUAACGACGUCGAAAACACCCAUGAUUAUCAUCUUUUGAUGGUAAUCGUUGAGGCGCUUUGGACACUUUCAGCUGGCAUCAAUGACACCGAUAAGCGAGUCUCUAAAGUGGGGUAACAUCGGCAUGAACAUGGGCGUUAUGCUCGUAAGC
rnacentral:misc_RNA from 1 species